rnacentral:lncRNA from 10 species
GCCCCAGAAAGCUGCCUUCUACCAUGUGAGGACACAUCUAUGAGCCAGGAAAUGGGCUCUCACCAGACAGUGAAUCCGCCAGCACCUUGAUCUUGGACUUCCCAGCCAAAAGAAUGGGUCUUGCUCUGUUGCCAGGCUUGAGUGAAGUGGUAUGAUUUCAGCUCACUGCAGCCUCCACCUCCCAGUCAAGGCUGGUGGCAUGCAUCUGUAGUCCUGCUACUCAGGAGGCUGAGGUGGGAGGACUGCUUGAGCCUGAGAGGUUGAGACUUCAGUGAGCCAUAGUCAUGCCACUGUACUCCAGCAUGGGCAACAGACUGAGACCCUCUCUCAAAAAAGCAAAAACAAAAAAACAACCAAGGCAGUAUGAAUUCGGAGAAGGAAACAUCAAUGAAGGCUGGAAUAGUACAACAGAACUCAAGAUCUUUCAGAUUCUUUCAAGACUCAAGCCUAGGUUAUUACCUGCACUUAAAACCAGCUGACAGAGACAAAGAUGAAGGAAAAACAAAUCACUCCUUGGGAAUUACAUACCUGAUCUCUCUGAUUUCCAAAUUUCCCAAAGCUACACACACGAGAUUAUACACAUCAGGCACUGGAACUAUCUGUAAUACUGGAACCUAAAUAAAACAA